UACGGAGGGUGCGAGCGUUGUCCGGAAUCACUGGGCGUAAAGGGCGCGUAGGUGGCCUGUGGAAGUCUGCGGUGAAAGCCCGGCGCUCAACGCCGGGUCUGCCGGUGGAUACUCUCGGGCUUGAGCUUACUAGAGGCAGAUGGAAUUCCGGGUGUAGCGGUGGAAUGCGUAGAGAUCCGGAAGAACACCAGUGGCGGAAGGCGACUUACUGGACACAUACUGACGCUGAGGUGCGAAAGCGUGGGGAGCAAAC
rnacentral:rRNA from 1 species